rnacentral:rRNA from 1 species
GGUGAACGUUGGCGGUGCGUCUAAUACAUGCAAGUCGAGCGAGGCUUCGAGCCGAGCGGCAGACGGCUGAGUAACACGUUGGUAACUGCCUCAAACUCAGGGGUAACGCCGAGAAAUCGGUGCUAAUACCGGAUGGUCCCGUAAGGGUAAAGUUUUUACGGUUUGAGAGGUGCCUGCGUCCUAUCAGGUAGUUGGUGAGGUAACGGCUCACCAAGCCUAUGACGGGUAACUGGUCUGAGAGGAUGACCAGUCAGAGGGAAACUGAGACACGGUUCCCACUUCUACGGAAGGCAGCAGUAAAGAAUCUUCCACAAUGGACGAAAGUCUGAUGGAGCGACACCGCGUGCAGGAUGAAGGCCCUUGGGUCGUAAACUGCUUUUUUGGGGGAAAAAUUCUGAUUGUACCCUAAGAAUAAGCACCGGCAAAUCACGUG